rnacentral:sRNA from 2 species
CAUCUCAGGCUGAAAUCAACAAGCUUUUGGCUUGUAAGGAUGAUGCCAAAAAAAGAGGUGAUAAGGGCGAAUCUGCACCAUCCAACGAGAGAAAAAGGGGAAGAAGGGCUAAGGCGAAAGUUUUUGAGAAAGAUGAGCAUCUUCAGGCUAUGCUGAAGAUUGGGAAGGAAAAGGAUCCAUUCCCAACGAAAGAACCAUAUGGCUGGGGUAAAAUGGCAUUCCAGAUGGUGAAAGGGAUGAAGACACUUGCCAAGGCUUUGCCUGUUGAUAGAAAAUGAUGGGAAAAUGGGAUUAUAUGUAGCCAG